rnacentral:lncRNA from 1 species
UAGCAUUGAUUAUCAUAGUAAGUAUUGAAAUUAUGAGGGUAACUAAGUACAUCAACUUGCCCAUAGUGUUUGAUUUUUCUAUAGCAUUGACUAUCUUAGUCAGUAUUGAAGUAUGGGGGUGACUGGGUACAUCAACUUGCCCAUAAUGUUUGAUUUUUCCAUAUAGAAUGUUUUGUAGCUAGCCAAGCAUGGUGAGCUAUUUAAUUACAAGACAUACCCACAUGCUUGUGUGAAAGAAAGGAGGUCCUUGCAAGUUGUUAUCCUAUUUAAUAGGUGAAGUAUUAGAAUUAUUGAAAAUAAUUGUCUUAAAUUAUGCGUCUAUGUAACUUUUUAUUAUAUUAAAUACAUGCUUUAGACAUUGUUACUAAAUACUGGAUUAAAACAUGAAUUUCCUAAGUAAUUAAAAUGACUACUCUUGAACUUGAAUUCCAUUCUUUCUCAUUUUAGCAAAAUAAAUAAAUAAAAUCCCUUUUAUAGAUGAUAAUUGUUGCAAAUUGUUAAAUUGUUGGAAAAGGCAUAUUAUAGGGUUUUGCUUUGAUAUUUUGGUGCUACUAAAUAGAUUGAACCAAUUUAGUAGGCUUUUACACUCUCCACAUAAGACAAUUAUAUGUUAUUUAACGGGGAUUGAGGACGGAGAUUUCACUUCAAGGCAUGAUGAAAGUCUUUUUUUUUUCUUCAAAGAACUGACACAACUAAAGUUGAUCUCAAAAGCAAAUCCAUAAAUGUAUUAAGAUCAAAUCUGAAAUUUCCAAAGGAGGGAAAAAAAUAACAAAGAAAAAAAAAACUCAUAUUUGGUAUAAGUGUAUAAUAUAAUUGAUUUUUAUGAAUUUCUAAACCUCCAAUAUAGUUUAAUAGGUUAUAUCUUAUCUAUACACCUUUCUCCAUGGAAUAUUAGGUACCAAUCAAUUCUAUUGGCAUCAUGUUUCCAUCUCUACUUCAAGUCAUAUUUAUGCCUGGACAUCUGUGGAUGGACCUUAUACCAAUGCAAAGCAAGUGGAGUAGCAAAAUUUCUUAGCCAUUGCAUUAUGAAUCUUAUCAUCUUUUUUGGAUUCUAGUUAUGACAAUGAAUAGCAUUUGACACUCAGCCUCUCAAACUUGACAAGUCCCUGUGGGACCAAUGAGGAAAGAAAUUGAUUCAUGCAUCAUUUUAUUGUGGGGGACUACAACUUGGAACCAUGAGAGAUCAUUUUUUUGUUUGUAGUUGUAGAUCUUUCUCUAUGCACUCACCUUCAAACUUUCAAAUAAUUCUCCUUUUGUGAGUUUAGAUUGUUAUUUUGCCCUUGUGGAAUUUGCUACUACAUUUCUAGUGAAACCUAACUUGGUAUCCCCUGCAUUUUUCUAAUUUGAAAAAAGUAUGCCUUUAUUGACUAAUGUAAGGCUCUCCAAAAUCUGAUUUUGAUUUUGUUUAUUUCUUUAUGAAUCAUAUCAUCAAUUUUUCUUAUGAAUUUUCUCUUAAGAAUAAGGAAAUUAGUAACUCUCUAAAAGUACCUCAUUUCUUAAUAAGAAAUUAAUGGUAAAAAAGGACAUCAACUUGCCCACAGUGUUUGAUUUUUCUAUAGCAUUGACUAUCUUAGUCAGUAUUGAAGUAUGGGGGUGACUGGGUACAUCAACUUGCCCAUAAUGUUUGAUUUUUCCAUAUAGCUAGCCAAGCAUGGUGAGCUAGUUAAUUAUAAGACAUACCCACAUGCUUGUGUGAAAGAAAGGAGGUCCUUUCAAGUUGUUAUCCUAUUUAAUGGGUGAAGUAUUAGAAUUAUUGAAAAU